AGAUAUAAACCUGUGGCACUCGGGGGGAUUAGGAAGAGAAAUGCUGACGGAUUUAACUCUUUGCAGCACAAGCGGUUCCACCGCACCGCGAUAAGGCCGAAACCUGAUGCCGGCGUGACUUUCACACACCAGAACGUAAAUCCUGCCGCUACCACAUACUUUAAAACCAACAGUUAAAGGGGCAGUUUUAAUUUCCAUGGCAUAUCUGUGAAAAAAGCCUCACUCGGGAAGAGGCUCUUGGUUUAUUUAUAGGCAAAACAGCUGCUUUGUGCAUUCCACGAUCGAGGCUGAGGUCUGCUCCCAGUCCUGCAUGUUCGAGUUACCUCUUGUCGAAGUAAAACACGCAAGGCUGCUGGCUUCUAUAAAGGGACUCCAGAGCUGGCAAGCAGCAGGCACAAGUCUGGUUGCAAUAUCCCUACUUUGCUAUCUCUUUCUUCAGACACUUAUUCCAACGCUUGCAAGCCAAGCAAGACGUUUUCCUUAGGAUUAUCUGUUCCAUCUUAAGCAGCAGCUGUGAAGACCAUUCUCCUAUUCUCCUGCAGAUCCUGCUCUGCUUCAUGGGAUACUUGUGCUGUGAACUUGAGUCAUCAUUUUGUUGGCAACUAGAAAAGCUCUCAUAAUCGGCAAUUCUACUCAGCUAUGGACAGAAAUGAGCCCAAGAACUUACAAGUCCAGUUUCACAAAAACUCACAAUCAUCACUGCAAAUUCAUCAAUAACAAAUAUAGAAUAUGAAUUUAACUUGCAUGCUAUUGAAAUAACC
rnacentral:lncRNA from 1 species